UACGUAGGGUGCAAGCGUUAAUCGGAAUUACUGGGCGUAAAGCGUGCGCAGGCGGUUUUGUAAGUCUGUCGUGAAAUCCCCGGGCUCAACCUGGGAAUGGCGAUGGAGACUGCAAGGCUAGAGUUUGGCAGAGGGGGGUAGAAUUCCACGUGUAGCAGUGAAAUGCGUAGAGAUGUGGAGGAACACCGAUGGCGAAGGCAGCCCCCUGGGUCAAAACUGACGCUCAUGCACGAAAGCGUGGGGAGUAAACAGG
rnacentral:rRNA from 1 species